CUGAGAGAAAAGACAGUGAAGUGGGAUCUGUGGAAAAACACAUCUGCAAAUGUCUCAUUUUUUUCUUCAGGGAUCAGUCUACGCAAAUGUGUUUGGGUGCAAUGUACCUGGCAAUUUCAUGGGGCAGUCGGGAGGACAGUGUGGCUGAAGCACAGUGAGUGAGAGGGCCUGAAGGUCAGGAGUCUAAAACUGAGGUGGCAGAAGGGCUAUGUUACUUCUGAAGGCUCUAGAGGAAAGUGUCUUGCAUUUCCAGAUUCUAUUCUCCACACAUUCUUUGGCUCAUAGCACAUGGCUACAGCCGCUGGUUUCAUCACCACACUUCCUUUUACUGACUUUGAUCCUCUUGUCUCACUCUUGUAAGGAACCUUGUGAUUAUAUUGGACUCACCCAGAUAAUCCAGAAUAACCCCCCACCAUCUCAAGAUUCCUAACUUAAUCACAUCUGUGAAGUCCCUUUCUUGCCAUAUAAAGUGACAUAUUCACAGGUUUCUGAGAUUA
ensembl:lncRNA CCDST cervical cancer associated DHX9 suppressive transcript